UCCGACUUAACGUCGGCAGUCUCUUUAGAGUUCCCAGCAUUACCUGAUGGCAACUAAAGACAAGGGUUGCGCUCGUUGCAGGACUUAACCUAACAUCUCACGACACGAGCUGACGACAGCCAUGCAGCACCUAUGUAGCGCUCUCCGAAGAGAUACCCCACUUUCAUGGGAUUACACCACACUUCGAGCCCAGGUAAGGUUCUUCGCGUUGCAUCGAAUUAAACCACAUGCUCCACCGCUUGUGCGGGCCCCCGUCAAUUCCUUUGAGUUUCACCCUUGCGAGCGUACUCCCCAGGUGGGUCACUUAAUGCGUUAGCGUCGUCACCGAAGGGGUCGAAUCCCCCGACGACUAGUGACCAUAGUUUACGGUGUGGACUAC
rnacentral:misc_RNA from 1 species